CGUCGUUAUCUCUCUGAAUCCUUCUACCGCAUAUUCUCCUUCAAUAUUUUCGAACUAACAAACGGGAGAGAUUGUAUCCUAAGUAUCUUCUUUACAUAUUUAUUGUUUUUUGAUCUCAAGCUUCAGGAAGUGCAUAAUAGUAAAAAUGUAGGUGAACUUAUACAUCCAAUAUAAGAUUUCACUAGGCAUGAGCUGGUGUUUCCUAUGUAAGUAGGCGGGUGAGCACAUGGACCAUAUUUCAUCACAUUGCAAAUUAGCUACAAGGUUAAAAAAAAUAAAACGAGCCUGUAUGGAAUUAGUGUGAAAGUACUUUUUUGUGGCUGAAUAUUGUGGAGAUUGUUAAGAGUGGUGAUGAUCUUCAGUUUUCUGUUGGUAUUGUUUUCGUUAGUUUUCCAUUUGAUAAUUUUUUGAUUUGUCCGCAAUGUGGAUGUGGAUUGAAUAGUAAUAGCAAUGGAGAAAUUUUGAAGAUUUGAAACAGUCAUCUUGUGUCUUCUGCUUAGCUGCAUACAAAGGGUGAUGUAGUUUGGUGAUGGAGUUUCCUGAAUGAGGUGACGUUGUUGCAGUUGACAGAAAGCCUAAAGUGGUCAUUCUCCUGCUUCCUCCUCAUCUGAGUAGCAACGCAAAGCUUUAAGAGCCUAUUCAUCAGUUGGAGGCUAUAUUGCUUAGACUCUUCAAGAAUGUCAAUGGGUGCGUAUUGGAUUCUUCAAAAGUAGUACAUCUAAAGUAAAGAUAUCAACUUUGGACCUAACGACACUAUAGCAGUGGUAUACAACUUUGGACCUAACAGCUGGCGUAGUAACAUUUCGGAAUGAAGGAUUAUAAGUGUAUUCAAAAUUUGUAUUAUUGUAUGAAGAAAAAAUAUCCUAAAUAUAAAAGAUUGUAUGUAAUGCAAUACAUGUCCAGAUCUUUGUACUUCUUGUGAUACCAUUUUGUAACUAUUUAUCAAUAAAACUUACAUGUUUGGUGCA